rnacentral:rRNA from 1 species
UAAUACAGAGGGUGCGAGCGUUAAUCGGAAUUACUGGGCGUAAAGCGUGCGUAGACGGUUAUUUAAGUCGGAUGUGAAAGCCCCGGGCUCAACCUGGGAAUUGCAUUCGAGACUGAAUAGCUAGGGUGCGGUAGAGGGAAGCGGAAUUUCCGGUGUAGCGGUGAAAUGCGUAGAUAUCGGAAGGAACAUCAGUGGCGAAAGCGGCUUCCUGGACCAGCACCGACGUUCAGGCACGAAAGCGUGGGGAGCAAACAGGAUUAGAUACCCUGGUAGUCCACGCCAUAAACGAUGAGGACUAGACGUUGGAGGGUUAAGCCUUUCAGUGUCGUAGCUAACGCGCUAAGUCCUCCGCCUGGGGAGUACGGCCGCAAGGUU